AGGAAAAGCCCCUGACCUUGAACCUGGGAUCCUGACCAUGAUCUCUUGGUGAUGCUGUCAGGGGUAGAUUCCUUGU
rnacentral:pre_miRNA from 1 species